rnacentral:rRNA from 1 species
AUUGAACGCUGGCGGCGUGCUUUACACAUGCAAGUCGAACGGCAGCACGGGCUUCGGUCUGGUGGCGAGUGGCGAACGGGUGAGUAAUACAUCGGAACGUACCUUUAAGUGGGGGAUAACUCAUCGAAAGAUGAGCUAAUACCGCAUAAACUCUGAGGAGGAAAAGGCGGGGCCCAGCAAUGGCCUGUCGCUAAAAGAGCGGCCGAUGGCUGAUUAGCUAGUUGGUGGGGUAAAGGCUUACCAAGGCGAUGAUCAGUAGCUGUUCUGAGAGGAAGAUCAGCCACACUGGGACUGAGACACGGCCCAGACUCCUACGGGAGGCAGCAGUGGGGAAUAUUGGACAAUGGGGGGAACCCUGAUCCAGCAACGCCGCGUGAAUGAAGAAGGCCUUAGGGUUGUAAAGUUCUUUUGUCGCAGAGCAAAACUAAUUGAGUAAUAUGCGAUUAGGAUGAGAGUAUGCGAAGAAUAAGCACCGGCUAACUACGUG